rnacentral:rRNA from 1 species
GAUGAACGCUGGCGGCGUGCCUAAUACAUGCAAGUCGAGCGAACAGACGAGGAGCUUGCUCCUCUGACGUUAGCGGCGGACGGGUGAGUAACACGUGGAUAACCUACCUAUAAGACUGGGAUAACUUCGGGAAACCGGAGCUAAUACCGGAUAACAUGUUGAACCGCAUGGUUCAACAGUGAAAGACGGUUUUGCUGUCACUUAUAGAUGGAUCCGCGUCGCAUUAGCUAGUUGGUAAGGUAACGGCUUACCAAGGCAACGAUGCGUAGCCGACCUGAGAGGGUGAUCGGCCACACUGGAACUGAGACACGGUCCAGACUCCUACGGGAGGCAGCAGUAGGGAAUCGUCCGCAAUGGGCGAAAGCCUGACGGAGCAACGCCGCGUGAGUGAAGAAGGUCUUCGGAUCGUAAAACUCUGUUAUUAGGGAAGAACAAAUGUGUAAGUAACUAUGCACGUCUUGACGGUACCUAAUCAGAAAGCCACGGCUAACUACGUG